GGUUAAGUUAGAAAGGGCGCACGGUGGAUGCCUUGGCACUAGGAGCCGAAGAAGGACGGGACUAACACCGAUAUGCUUUGGGGAGCUGUACGUAAGCGUUGAUCCAGAGAUUUCCGAAUGGGGGAACCCACUAUCUUUAGUCGGAUAGUAUCCUUACGUGAAUACAUAGCGUGAGGAAGGCAGACCCAGGGAACUGAAACAUCUAAGUACCUGGAGGAAGAGAAAGAAAAAUCGAUUUCCUGAGUAGCGGCGAGCGAAACGGAAAGAGCCCAAACCAAGAAGCUUGCUUCUUGGGGUUGUAGGACACUCUAUACGGAGUUACAAAAGAAAGUUAUAAAUGAAGCGGUCUGGAAAGGCCCGCCAAAGACGGUAACAGCCCGGUAGUUGAAAUGGCUUUCCCUCCAGAGUGGAUCCUGAGUACGGCGGAACACGUGAAAUUCCGUCGGAAUCCGGGAGGACCAUCUCCCAAGGCUAAAUACUCCCUAGUGACCGAUAGUGAACCAGUACCGUGAGGGAAAGGUGAAAAGCACCCCGGAAGGGGAGUGAAACAGUUCCUGAAACCGUGUGCCUACAAGUAGUUAGAGCCCGUUAAUGGGUGAUAGCGUGCCUUUUGUAGAAUGAACCGGCGAGUUACGAUUUGUUGCAAGGUUAAGCGGAAAAAGCGGAGCCGUAGCGAAAGCGAGUCUGAAUAGGGCGCAUAAGUAACAGGUCGUAGACCCGAAACCAGGUGAUCUACCCAUGUCCAGGAUGAAGGUAAGGUAAUACUUACUGGAGGUCCGAACCCACGCACGUUGAAAAGUGCGGGGAUGAGGUGUGGGUAGCGGAGAAAUUCCAAUCGAACUUGGAGAUAGCUGGUUCUCUCCGAAAUAGCUUUAGGGCUAGCCUCGAGGUAAAGAGUCAUGGAGGUAGAGCACUGUUUGGACUAGGGGCCCUUCUCGGGUUACCGAAUUCAGAUAAACUCCGAAUGCCAUGUACUUAUACUCGGGAGUCAGACUGCGAGUGAUAAGAUCCGUAGUCGAAAGGGAAACAGCCCAGACCACCAGUUAAGGUCCCCAAAUAUAU
rnacentral:rRNA from 1 species